UACAGAGGGUGCAAGCGUUGUUCGGAAUUAUUGGGCGUAAAGCGCGUGUAGGCGGCUUUUGCAAGUCGGGAUGUGGAAAGCCCUCGGCCUCGAACCGAGGAAGUGCGCCCGAAACUGCAGAGGCUUGAGGUACCGGAGAGGGUGGCGGAAUUCCCCAAGUGAGAGGUGAAAUUCGUAGAUAUGCGGAGGAACACCGAUGGCGAAGGCAAUCCCCUGGGCCUGCACUGGACGCUCGAUGCACGAAAGCGUGGGGAGCAAACAGG
rnacentral:rRNA from 1 species